CUCUUUCAGUAGGGAAGAAGCUCUUCGGGGUGACGGUACCUGCAGAAGAAGCGCCGGCUAACUACGUGCCAGCAGCCGCGGUAAUACGUAGGGCGCAAGCGUUGUCCGGAAUUAUUGGGCGUAAAGAGCUCGUAGGCGGUCUGUCGCGUCUGCUGUGAAAACGCGGGGCUCAACCCCGCGCCUGCAGUGGGUACGGGCAGACUAGAGUGCGGUAGGGGAGACUGGAAUUCCUGGUGUAGCGGUGGAAUGCGCAGAUAUCAGGAGGAACACCGGUGGCGAAGGCGGGUCUCUGGGCCGUUACUGACGCUGAGGAGCGAAAGCAUGGGGAGCGAACAGGAUUAGAUACCCUGGUAGUCCAUGCCGUAAACGUUGGGCACUAGGUGUGGGACCCAUUCCACGGGUUCCGUGCCGCAGCUAACGCAUUAAGUGCCCCGCCUGGGGAGUACGGCCGCAAGGCUAAAACUCAAAGGAAUUGACGGGGGCCCGCACAAGCGGCGGAGCAUGCGGAUUAAUUCGAUGCAACGCGAAGAACCUUACCAAGGCUUGACAUACACCGGAAACAUCCAGAGAUGGGUGCCCCGCAAGGUCGGUGUACAGGUGGUGCAUGGUUGUCGUCAGCU
rnacentral:rRNA from 1 species